CGCAGUUGGAGGCUGGAUCGUUUAUUAGCUUACAAAGGCAAGAGCCAUCGUCCAGCCCGAGCGCUUCCCCGCUCCGCAUCGGCGUGUGAUGGCCCGGCGAUCCGCCAAUAGAGGCGCAGCCAAAAAGCUUUCUGCGGGGGCUAAAAAAUCGAGGUCCUCUACAUCGGAUUCUUCUCUUGUGCCCUCCCUCUUCGCCUAUGUCCAAGGGGGAGACCAUGCUGGACACUGAGGUCACUCACUCCCAGGGGCUGUUUGGUAUCGGAUUUGGCAUAAGAUUUAAGAAGGAUUUAACCUAAAUCCAGCCAAACAGUUUUUUGCGUGCCUAUAAAUCCAACGACGACGUAAAUCCCAAAUUUACGGAUUUACGGCAUAAAUCCUUGUAAAUCUGGGUAAAUCCGAAUCCCAUUCUUCGGCGGAUUUAACGGGAUUUAAAGUUGAGCGAGUUCUCACCUGCGGCGCCCGUGUCGCGAAGUUCCCGCGAGGUCUUUAUGUAGAUGAAGGCGCAGUUGCUUCGCACUCAUCCUCAGCCCUAGCCGCCUCCGAUUCUUGCUCAGCCAGCGUGUUCCUCUACCUGGUACGCAUCUUCCGCAGCAUUACCGCCGGCUAACUCUCUUCGUCGCGCAGACGGAAAUGGAGCAUGAUAAUGAACGUGGCGAAGUUGAAAUGUCUUAUGAGGAUCCUAACUUGCAUACGACAAUAGGAGAAAGAAUUCAGGGAGAAGCGAUACGACAUGACAUCGCAACAGAGUUUUGGAACGCUCGAGUAAUCAUUAAUCUAUGCAUUCACAAUAUUUCAACUUUAAAUACAUUUUAUAGUAAUUUUAUGUUUUUUGGAUUUCAGAUAAGUUGCCAAAGAAAUCAAUCGUUAUGAGAAAGUUAUUCUCCAAUACAAGAUAUAUCAACUUCUUUAUCAUGUUGAAGUGUACUAUCAUGUAGUAGUUUAUCGGUGUCUAAAUAAAUAUUAGUCUAUCAUGGUGUCAUGUACUCUUUAUGCUUCUGCUAGUUUCUGUUGUAUGAUGUCAUGUUUGAUUUAUUAUGUGGAAUACAAUUAUUUCAAAUUCAUAACUAGCGUAUUGAUGUAAUUAAGUAUUAUUACUUCAUAUUUCAAUCUCCAAUUGCUUUAAAUCCUAGAGUCUAUUGCCAAACAUUGUCUCAAGAUUUAACAUUUGUAAUACCAAACAAUUUUCAUGAUUUAACAACCUCAGGAUUUACUAAAUCUCACUAAAUUAAAUCCAAUUCAAUACCAAACAACCCCUGAGUGUCAGAGAUCAGGUCUCAGAGAUAGAAGCCCAUUACGAUUCUGCCAUGGAGAAUGAUGUCGUAGGAGGAGAGGAUCCUCUACCUCACGAUACAAUCGAAGAAGAGAAUACCGUAUGGAGGAAUUCGGAUCGGCAUCGGUCACGGCCAUGGUAAUUUUGGAGGGUAAUGUAAAAGAAGGGAUCGGGAAAGUACCAGUUGUGAAGAAGACUACUCCAAAUGGACCCGCUGGCUUCGAGUUGGAAAAUGCGGUACUUUCAAGAAGGAUUAUUUGUCCUUUUCUUUGGUUAAGGGGGGCAUCGUAGUCAUCAAGGAAAAGAUCUUGGAAGAUAAAAAUCCCAUUAAGCUUAAGGAGGAAGCUACGCCAAAGCCAGUUAACCCCUUCAGUAAGGAGCUGGGGAUUGAUGAGAUGACCCAGGAAUCAAAACUUUUAUCGGUGUCACAAUUUGAGGAUACAUUCUCCCGUGGAGCUGGAGACAAGAUGAAUAUGGAUGAAGGUAUGCCUUCAAUAGUGGGUUAAACUCUACCAUUGCUGGCACAGGCUAGGGAAAUAUAUUUGCAUAGGAAUGCUUGUUCUCUUCCAUUGAAGGCGCAUUAUUUAAUCGGUAACUAUUUCAAUCAAAGCAUAUUGUGUGUCACUUUUGUCCAUUGACAAUAAUUAUAUACCAUGAAACUCUUGCACAACAAAACAAUUUCUCUAAUAGAAUUGUGGUCGGCCAAUAGAAUUGUAUCUGUGGGAGAUGAUUUUCUUAUUUUAGGGUUGAUAUUUUGUUAGGCAUGGCUUGUUUUGUUCAUCUGUAUCAUAAAAUGCCUUCCAAAUAUGUUCAGGGAGCCGCAAAUAUGAAAUGAAAGUAAAGCGCAGGAGGGGAAGGUUAUCAUACCAUGUGGCAAUUUAAAAAUUCAUGCUUAUUGUCAGUUUUUUGCCAACUCAAUAGUUUGUUUUGGUCUUCAGGUUAAGUAUUCUCUAUUCUCUUAGAAGAGUUCAUUUGAUUAACUAUACUGCAUCAUCUUUCAAGUUAUAAUUGAAGGGAUAAAUGUAGGAAGUUUGAUUUUGGACUUUGAUAGAAUUGGCUGAAUUGGAUGAACGGGAUUUUGUGGAGAUUUGCUUGGUGGAUAAGAGUCUUACAUAAGUUGAAUGCCAUGGAUGCUGAGGUUAAUUAUUAGUGCUUAUCUUGCUAAAGCUAUUCCAUCUGUCAUAAGUCAAGGCACAAAAUCGUGAGCUGCUACCUUCUUUGAGUCAGUUGCGUUCUAAAGGCUGGCAAGUACUUAGGAAGGUCUCUUUUGCUGUUAAAAUUUCAAUUGAAUAUCGCACACAUAUUUAUUUUUGUUUAGUGAUGGGUUGAUGGAAAUUCAUGUAUGCCAUAGGUGUUCUAGCAUUUAUUCCUUGAUGUUUUAUUACUUUCUUGAAAGUGAUAUUUUUUGUGUCCUACAUGUAGCUCCAGCUGAUCUAGUGUUUGAGGAGAGGUUUGAUGUAUGGAACCUGUUGUGUAUUGGUCCAAGUUUUAGGUUAGGUUGAUCCGCAUUAACUUCUUAUCUAUGUAAAUAUCAAUAAAUAAAUAUCAUAUAUGAUGUAUUAGAUGGGGAAAAUUUUAAUAAAACUUUAGGAUAGAUUUUCCUCCUCAAAUAUCUAUCAUCUCUCCUCCCUCUCCCUCUCUCUCUUGUGCAAGAAGUGCUCAAGAAGAGCUCAAGGAUUCCUCACAAUUUUCUAACAAAUGGUAUCAGAGCCUGGUGGAGGCUAUUGACGAGGAGGAAGGUGUUCUGUCCAAGAAAGGGGAGAAGAGGUGUUGUUUUGACGUUGCUGGUAUGCGAGGAAGGAGUCAGGCCUGGAUCGAUUGCAUGGGUGUGUACUGUGCGUGAGGCGUGGUCGGUCGAGGAGUAGCUAGCCGAAUGCUCGCGGAGCCAAGAACGCAUGAACACGGAGCGUUAGAGGAUGGGCUGCAGGAUUCUGGUGCAAUUUUUCGUGCGAAAGAUGAGGCCCCGACCAAGAAGAAGUAGAUUGACAUUUGGGAUACCAUUUCAGAGAAUCCUGCUGAUGCUGAAGAUGAGGUCACGGUGAUAUCGGAAGUUGUCAUGCAAGAGAUAUUCAACUUGUUUGAUGGUGAAGUUGAUAUCCGCAUUUUGGGGAGAGAAGACGGAUCAUUUAUGAGUAUUCGAGGAAAACUGACGAGUCGGUGAUGGAGCGUGAGCUGGAGUCGUGGUUUGGAACCCACGGUGGAGUUUAUUCGUGAGCGGGAUUGAGCUCAGUUCGACCGGAUUGCGCGUGGAGUUAGUGCAAGAAGUCAGUUAGAUCGCAAUAAGUGCACAUGAUUUUUUUUUAUGGUAAAAUCUGGAUCAAGGUGAAGAUUGUUGAGUAUUAAUUUAGGAUUUAAGUUGGUUGAUCCGCAUUGACAUCUUAUCCAUAUAAAUAUUUAUAAAUAGAGAUUAUAUAUGAUGUAUUAGAUGGAAAAAAUUUUAAUAAAGCUUUAGGAUAGAUUUUCCUCCUCCUCAAAUAUCUGUCAUCUCUCUCUCUCUCAAGAAGUGCUUAAGAAGAGCUCAAGAAUUCCUCACAAUUUUCUAACAAAUGGUAUUAGAGCCUGGUGGAGGCUAUUGAUGAGGAGGAAGGUGUUCUAUCCAAGAAAGGGGAGAAGAGGUGCCGCUUGGACGCUGCUGGUACGCGAAGGAGGAGCCGAGCAUAUGGAUUGAUUGCAUGGGUGUGUACUACGCGUGAGGCGUGGUCGGUCGAGUAGUUGGCCGAACGCCCGCGGAGCCAAGCACGCGUGAACACGGAGAAGAGAGAGGGUGCGGCUGGAGCUAUGGGACCUACUUCUUAAUUAAGUUUUUCUUGGGAGUAAAAUUUGAAUGAAUGGUUGUUUAGGGAUUUUGUAAUUGUCCUCUUUUUGCUUUAAUUAGUCUCUAUUGUUAGGGUUAGUUUUUAUCUUGAGUUUGAAAUCAAAUUUGAGAUCUAGGGUUUGUCCCUUUGGGCUCUAGGUUUGGCUAGAGAUUUGGAGGGCUAUUUCUUCUUCUCGAAUUGAAUAAACUUGUAUUGUUUGCUGUUUUCUUGCAUCUACCAGUGGAAUUCAUCGUUGUUUCUCUCCGUUUUUCCCAAGAAACCUGCUAUAGCUUGCUGUUUUCUGCUGUAAUAAGCAGUUUUUCCCACGGUUUUUCACCAAUUAUUGUUAGGUUUGCUUGCGAACUCAAGUAUUCCCCUUAGGGUUACUUGCGUACUCAAGUACUUCCUAUCACUUUGGCAAAGGUGUCUCUUUUGAUCAUGAUAGUACUAAUGAUGCUAAUGAUGAAAAUGAGGAGAAUGAGGAAAGCGAUCAAGAGUUUUAUAUGCAAGCUGUACUAGUGGAGGGGACAGAAAGAAAAGAAUCCGAGAUAUUUAUUGGUGGCUUGGAUAAGGGAGCAGUUGAGGAUGAUUUGGUUGAAGUCUUUAAGGCAUUUGGAGACAACCAAUCUGUAAGGAUAUUUAAGCACCCAACAACAAAUAAAAGCAAAGGAUUUGCCUUUAUUGGAUUUUCAUCCAAUGAUCAUCCAAUGAUCAUGCCAUAAAGACUUUGACUGAGCUCAAGGAGGGUAUAGAGGUGAAUGGAAAACGUGUUAGGGUACAAGCCAGUCAGAUACAGAUACACUUACCUGGGUAACAUCACCAAGGCUUGGACUAGGGACCUAGUAUGACAAUCUCUACUGUUUUAAUCAGCUUUUUACAUUAUAUAUAGAAGCACUUGUUCAAGGAUAUGCUAUGUAGAGUUAUUUUCUGUUACAAAAUGAUGAAUGCAUAAUUGUAAGCAAAAUAGUUUUAAAACUAUUUAAUCUAUUCAGAUGCAACAUUAGUAAAGAUUGGUUGUUCAAAGAGUCUUGUUCUUCCAGAUGCUUGCAACGUUAAAAAGCUUUGGAGUUCAACAGAUGGAGUGCCUGAUUUUACCUGAAGAUCUGAAGAGUGAGGGAAAAAUAAAGGUUUUUGCUUUCCAUGAAUUUAGUUCCAACUCAGAUGCCAUGGCAGCAUUUCAACGGUUAAGAAAGCCUGAUGUGUUUUUUGGCCGUCAUAACAUUGCUAGAGUUGUGUUUGUGCGUUCUCCAUUGCAUCCUAGUCAAGAGGUCUUGUUACAGUAGGUGAAAGUCCAAAUUAACCCAGCCACGUUCGCGACCUUCGUCUUCUUCAACAAGCUGCACGACUAAUUACUUCAUUUCUUCUGAUUCGCUCCAUCCGGAAGACUCCCACUUCGGUUGUACUUCGCAUGCUAGAGCUCAAUCCCUCUCCAUUUCUCCAGGCCGACGACGACAGCCGCCAAGUAUCCUGCUGCCGAUCUAUUCAGGCAAGCAGUCCCGGCCCCGUCCGAGCACUGUAGGCCUAGCCUCCUACCGUCCCUCACCAUCCCUUACCCUCCUCCAGACUGAUUAUUCUUCCUCUUUCAAUCGGUUAAACCUAACUUAUUCUGAUUCGUCA